rnacentral:sRNA from 1 species
GGCUAUGAGGUGGCUCCAGAUGGGAGGACCUGUGUGGAUAUCAAUGAAUGUCUUCUAGAACCCAGAAAAUGUGCACCAGGUACCUGUCAAAACUUGGAUGGGUCCUACAGAUGCAUUUGCCCACCUGGAUACAGUCUUCAAAAUGACAAGUGUGAAGAUAUUGAUGAGUGUGUCGAAGAGCCAGAAAUUUGUGCCCUGGGCACAUGCAGUAACACUGAAGGCAGCUUCAAAUGUCUGUGUCCAGAAGGGUUUUCCUUGUCCUCCAGUGGAAGGAGGUGCCAAGAUUUGCGAAUGAGCUACUGUUAUGCGAAGUUUGAAGGAGGAAAGUGUUCAUCACCCAAAUCCAGAAAUCACUCCAAGCAGGAAUGCUGCUGUGCCUUGAAGGGAGAAGGCUGGGGAGACCCCUGCGAGCUCUGCCCCACGGAACCUGAUGGUAUGUCUGUCAUCUGCAUUUCUCUCUCUGGGCCAUGCAGGGUGCAGACUGGCCAUGAUGUAAGUAAGAUUGUAGGCCUUAAAGACAGUAACACAGGUUAAUUUAAUUGUAAGUCUAAUUAGAAUGUUCAUUAAAAAUUAUUUUAUCU